CUGCUAUUAUCCCUUUGUGAAACUAGAUUGCAACCGAGUUUGCGGAGAAUACGAUCGUAGUGCGAGAAGGGGCGAGAGAAUGCGAGGAAUAUGAUAAUAUUGGAAGAAUUGGGAAAGAGAAUUCGCUUUACGAGAUGGUGAAGCACGAAGGAACCACUCGUCUCGACGCAAUCCUCUAUUAGAAGCAGUUUCCCCCUCAAAGGCCAUGGAUCUGUCUGCUGCUCCAAACCCAAUGCCUCAUCCAACAGAUUCAAACUUCGUUUCUCCAUUGCUACCAUCAAUUCCCU
rnacentral:misc_RNA from 1 species